GAUGCCCUUACCUUCUGGUCAAUGUGCGAUAUUUUGAAUGGAGGCAACUGUAGAAAUGCUUUCCAAGAUGCAUUUCGUAUAAUGUAUGGCUUACCGUCACAUAUAGAAGCUCUCCCACCCAUGCCUGAAGAUGGUGGGAAAUGGUCAGCCCUACAUAGCUGGGUUAUGCCAACCUCUUCUUUUCUAGAGUUUGUUAUGUUUUCCAGGAUGUUUGUUGAUGCUCUGGAUGGUUUGCACGUGAAUUCAAGCAAUAGGACACAUUGUGUACUGGCAAAUUCAACCAUGGAGAAGCAGCACUGUUACUGUCGAGUUUUGGAACUGUUGGUAAAUGUGUGGGCGUAUCAUAGUGCACGGCAGAUGGUUUACAUUAAUCCUCAGUCAGGUGCGGUGGAAGAGCAGCACUCAGUUGAGCAGCGAAAAGGAUAUAUGUGGGCAAAGUACUUCAACAUGACAUUGUUGAAGAGUAUGGAUGAAGACUUGGCACAAGCUGCUGAUGACAAUUACCAUCCCUAUGAAACAUGGUUGUGGCCAUUAACGGGAGAGAUAUUUUGGCAAGGGAUAUAUGAAAGGGAGAGAGAAGAGAGAUACAGGAAAAAAAUGGAUAAGAAGAGAAAGACGAGAGAGAAACUAGUGGACAGAAUGAAACACGGGUAUAAACAAAAGACACUUGGAGGAUAACACAUCUUAGGUAGAAGAGAUUUUUGACACCAUUUGUAAACACCACCACAUAGCAACCAAGCUCAUUUUUGCUCUGGGCUUAUGGAUGAAAGAGAAGGACGGACAGGAAACAAGAAACGAGUGGUUUAAUUCUUUCUAACUGCAUCAACAUACGGAAACUGACAUACUCUAGACUGACCUUAACUACAUAUUAAGGGAGAGUGCAUUACUCUCUUGGCAAGAUCGAGUCGGUUAUCUGUGGCUCACCAGCAUUUUUGAAAGCUUUUAUAAUCAAUGGACAGCUCUGGUUCCUAAGAGGCAC
rnacentral:misc_RNA from 1 species